AAGUCGUAACAAGGUUUCCGUAGGUGAACCUGCGGAAGGAUCAUUACAGAUAGAUUCGGAGGUGGCUUUCUCCAUGCCGGAGGGGGCUCCUUCAAACUCUACCUUCAAUCCCCCCCCUCAUUAACAAUGUGAACCUUGACACAAGUCUGUCGACGCAAGUGCCCCUAUCUUUGGAAUAGGGGCACUAGACACUUGUGCUCAUUUUUCUCUCACGCCUGUCAUACGAAUGUUGUUGGUACAUGAUACAUAUGAAAUAUAACUUUCAGCAACGGAUCUCUUGGCUCUC
rnacentral:misc_RNA from 1 species